AGCUCCAAUAGCGUAUAUAAACGUUGUUGCAGUUAAAAAGCUCGUAGUUGGAUUUUUGGUUUUGGCAAGUGGGCGGGAGCUUGAUUGUUCCGCGCCUUUUUCUUGUCUGGCCUUUUUCGUGGUGAGCUCGUUGGGCAUUCAGUUGUCUGGCGGGGGAGCCGCGUCGUUUACUGUGAAUAAAUUAGAGCGUUCAAAGCAGGCGUUUGCUUGAAUAUUGCAGCAUGGAAUAAUAAGAUAAGACUAAGUCUUAUUUGUUGGUUUGCAGACUUAGUAAUGAUUAACAGGGACAGUUGGGGGUAUUAGUAUUUCGAUGUCAGAGGUGAAAUUCUUGGAUUUUCGGAAGACUAACGACUGCGAAAGCAUUUACCAAGGAUGUUUUCAUUAAUCAAGAACGAAAGUA
rnacentral:rRNA from 1 species